UGGCGACCAUCAAAAAUGAAGAACCUCAAUUUGUUUUUAGUUGUGGCUUUUGCCCUGGUGGCAAUGGUAUCAUCUCAACGUCCUUGGCGAAUCUACCGUACCCCAAAUCCACCAGCAUGGAAACCGAUAUACGUACCACCUACUACAGCUCGUGACAAAUGGUGCCGACUUAAUCUGGGACCUGCGUGGGGUGGGCGAUGCUAAGAAACUUAGAAAACAGCCGUCCUCACACUUCUAUAAAGUCCCUUUAAAAAUCGGGCCCUCUAAAUUUGAAUCUUAAAUUGUUUAAUAGUUAAUGUUUUUUAUAUGGGAACUUAACAUUUUAUUCAUUUGGUAAUAAAUUCUUUAGAAAUUAA